GGGGGCGAAAUAGGAUCGACGAGGGCGUAAAGGGUGAACUUUCGCUCGGCAUGGUUCCGCCGUUAUCGGGCCUUUGCAAUAGUUGCCAACGACAACUUUGCUCCGGUGGCUGUCGCCGCGUAAGCGGUGCCAAAAACCGACCUAAAGUCCUAGCGGGUAGCACCGCAUAGGCGGGGUUCGGAGGUACCUGGCAACAGAAACCUCCACU
rnacentral:tmRNA from 5 species